UGCGGAAGCCCCGGCUCCGAGCUGUCAAUCACCGGCAGGUUCCCAGGACUGGAGCUGGGAAGGUGCAGUGUCCCUUUAAACCGGAGGAUCCAGGCAGAGAGAGGGAGAGGCUGCAAUUAACCGGGGGAUCCGCUCUCCAAAAUCUGGUUCAAUUCACCCCCUCAUUAAUUUUGCAAAACAAAAACAAUCCGGAAUUCUCAGGGGAUUGAAUUGAAUUCGUCUCCCUCCAGUUGCAUCCCUCUCCCUCUCUCUCUGUUGGUUGUUUUUUGGGGGGGGAGGCGGUUUGGGGUCUGUGAGUCUGGCCCUGACCCUGACCCUGACCCUGACCCUGACAGCAGCAGCAGCUGGGGGGGUGGGGGUCCAGCAGAAAUGGCCAAGGAGACGGUGCAGGUGCCGGACGAUGGCGAUUUCAGGUCGUUCCGGGAGGAGUGUCACUCGGAGAGCGGCUGGUCCCUGAAACACGACGGGUCGGGCAUCAGGGUCUGGGUGCAGAUGACCGAGGGAGACAGAGCCCUGCACAGGAUUAAGUGAAGGAUGUUCUG